rnacentral:rRNA from 1 species
AGAGUUUGAUCCUGGCUCAGGAUGAACGCUGGCGGCAUGCCUAAUACAUGCAAGUCGAACGAGGAUCCUUCGGGAUCCUAGUGGCGAACGGGUGAGUAACACGUAGGGAACCUGCCCGCGCACCGGGAAUACGCUCUGGAAACGGAGAACAAAUCCCGAUGUACAGGAAGGAGGCAUCUUCUUUCUGUGAAACAUCCUGUAAGGGAUGGGGCGCGGAUGGACCUGCGGUGCAUUAGUUGGUUGGCGAGGGUAAAGGCCCACCAAGACGAUGAUGCAUAGCCGGCCUGAGAGGGCGGACGGCCACAUUGGGACUGAGACACGGCCCAGACUCCUGCGGGAGGCAGCAGUAGGGAAUUUUCGUCAAUGGGCGCAAGCCUGAACGAGCGAUGCCGCGUGAGUGAAGAAGGCCUUCGGGUCGUAAAGCUCUGUUGCGGGGGAAAAAAGGCAUCUGCAGGAAAUGGUAGAUGACAGAUGGUGCCCCGCCAGAAAGUCACGGCUAACUACGUGCCAGCAGCCGCGGUAAUACGUAGGUGGCGAGCGUUAUCCGGAAUGAUUGGGCGUAAAGGGUGCGCAGGCGGUCCUGCAAGUCUGGAGUGAAACGUAUGAGCUCAACUCAUGCAUGGCUCUGGAAACUGGAGGACUGGAGAGCAGGAGAGGGCGGUGGAACUCCAUGUGUAGCGGUAAAAUGCGUAGAUAUAUGGAAGAACACCAGUGGCGAAGGCGGCCGCCUGGCCUGUUGCUGACGCUGAGGCACGA